rnacentral:rRNA from 1 species
CCUACGGGAGGCAGCAGUAGGGAAUAUUGGUCAAUGGAUGCAAGUCUGAACCAGCCAUGCCGCGUGCAGGAAGAAGGCGUUAUGCGUUGUAAACUGCUUUUGCCAGGGGAUAAAAUAACUGUGCGCAGUUAAUUGAAGGUACCUGGUGAAUAAGCCACGGCCAACUACGUGCCAGCAGCCGCGGUAAUACGUAGGUGGCAAGCGUUGUCCGGAUUUAUUGGGUUUAAAGGGUGCGUAGGUGGCCCUGUAAGUCAGUGGUGAAAUAUCUCAGCUUAACUGAGAGGGUGCCAUUGAUACUGCAGGGCUUGAGUACAGAUGAGGUAGGCGGAAUUGACGGUGUAGCGGUGAAAUGCAUAGAUAUCGUCAAGAACACCGAUAGCGAAGGCAGCUUACCAAGCUGUAACUGACACUGAGGCACGAAAGUGUGGGGAUCAAACAGGAUUAGAUACCCUGGUAGUCCACACUGUAAACGUUGAUGACUCGAUGUUGGCGAUACACAGCCAGCGUCCAAGAGCAAUCGUUAAGUCAUCCACCUGGGGAGUACGCCGGCAACGGUGAAACUCAAAGGAAUUGACGG